GAUGAAGAACGUAGCGAAAUGCGAUAAGUAAUGUGAAUUGCAGAAUUCAGUGAAUCAUCGAGUCUUUGGACGCACAUUGCGCCCCCUGGUAUUCCGGGGGGCAUGCCUGUCCGAGCGUCAUUGCUGCCCUCAAGCACGGCUUGUGUGUUGGGCCCCCGCCCCCCGGCUUCGGGGGGCGGGCCCGAAAGGCAGCGGCGGCACCGCGUCCGGUCCUCGAGCGUAUGGGGCUUCGUCACCCGCUCUGUAGGCCCGGCCGGCGCCCGCCGGCGACCCCAAUCAAUCUUUCCAGGUUGACCUCGGAUCAGGUAGGGAUACCCGCUGAACUUAAGCAUAUCAAUAAGCGGAGGA
rnacentral:misc_RNA from 1 species